rnacentral:rRNA from 1 species
GUUGACCUCGGAUCAGGUAGGAAUACCCGCUGAACUUAAGCAUAUCAAUAAGCGGAGGAAAAGAAACCAACAGGGAUUGCCCUAGUAACGGCGAGUGAAGCGGCAACAGCUCAAAUUUG